GAAUUCGCCCUUAGAGUUUGAUCCUGGCUCAGGACGAACGCUGGCGGCGUGCUUAACACAUGCAAGUCGAACGAGAAUCUGCUGAAUGAGGAUUCGUCCGACUGAAGCAGAGGAAAGUGGCGGACGGGUGAGUAACGCGUGAGGAACCUGCCUUGAACAGGGGGACAACCGCUGGAAACGACUGCUAAUACCGCAUGACGCUUACAGGUCGCAUGAUCUUUAUGCCAAAGAUUUAUCGCUUCAGGAUGGCCUCGCGUCUGAUUAGCUGGUUGGCGGGGUAACGGCCCACCAAGGCGACGAUCAGUAGCCGGACUGAGAGGUUGAUCGGCCACAUUGGGACUGAGAUCCGGCCCAGACUCCUACGGGAGGCAGCAGUGGGGAAUAUUGCGCAAUGGGCGCAAGCCUGACCCAGCAACGCCGCGUGAAGGAAGAAGGCUUUCGGGUUGUAAACUUUUUUUCAGAGGGAAGAGCAGAAGACGGUACCUCUAGAAUAAGCCACGGCUAACUACGUGCCAGCAGCCGCGGUAAUACGUAGGUGGGCAAGCGUUGUCCGGAUUUACUGGGUGUAAAGGGCGUGCAGCCGGGUCUGCAAGUCAGAUGUGAAAUCCCUGGGCUUAACCCAUGAUUUGCAUUUGAAACUGUAGAUCUUGAGUGUAGGAGGGGCAAUCGGAAUUCCUAGUGUAGCGGUGAAAUGCGUAGAUAUUAGGAGGAACACCAGUGGCGAAGGCGGAUUGCUGGACGAUAACUGACGGUGAGGCUCGAAAGUGUGGGGAGCAAACAGGAUUAGAUACCCUGGUAGUCCACACUGUAAACGA
rnacentral:rRNA from 1 species